CCUUGGGUGAUGGUUCAGAA
rnacentral:siRNA from 1 species